CGGCUCAGAUUAGACCCCUAGCCUGGGAAUCUCCAUAUGCCGCAGGAAUGGCCCUAGAAAAGGCAAAAAGACACACACACACACACACACACAAUAAUAUAACACUUAAGUGAGUUGAAAAACCUGGAAUAAGAGGAGUUCCCCUUGCAGUUCAGUGGUAACGAAACUGACUAGGAUCCAUGAGGACGUGGGUUCCAUCCCUGGCUGCUCUCAGUGGGUUAAGGAUCCGGCGUUGCCAUGAGCUGCGGUGUAGGCCGGCUGCUGCAACUCUGAUUGACCCCUAGCCUGGGAGCUUCCAUAUGCUGCAGGUGUGACUCUAAACAAAAGAAAGAAAGAAAAACCUGGAAUCAGAGAAUUCAAAGUUGCAAAAUGUUCCAAUUAGGGGAUGGUGGCAUAAUGUAAAAGGAAUUAUUUCUUGUUUCCUAGAUCCAUCAGAGUUUUUCUCUCAAUAUCAAGCUUCCACAGACUCUCUGCUGCGGUGGAAAUAUUUGAAAACAAUCAAGUGGAACCCACUGGGGAUGCUGUGUCCUUUUGAAUGCAGUCCACAGCUUCUCCCUGGACAAGGACCACUAUGUUUAGAAUCAUGGAGACCCAGCUACAGUCAUGAGAUAAUCCUGCCUGAGCAGGAUAACCAGGAACUGUUGCAAAAUUAAGGCUAA
rnacentral:lncRNA from 1 species